rnacentral:rRNA from 1 species
UACGUAGGGUGCGAGCGUUGUCCGGAAUUACUGGGCGUAAAGAGCUCGUAGGUGGUUUGUCGCGUUGUUCGUGAAAACUCACAGCUCAACUGUGGGCGUGCGGGCGAUACGGGCAGACUGGAGUACUGCAGGGGAGACUGGAAUUCCUGGUGUAGCGGUGGAAUGCGCAGAUAUCAGGAGGAACACCGAUGGCGAAGGCAGCACUCUGGGCCGGCACUGACGCUGAGGAGCGAAAGCGUGGGGAGCGGACAGG